rnacentral:lncRNA from 1 species
GCCAGCCACAUCUGGCCAAUUUACAUGCCACGUACUUAGUAUCGAUUCGCUUGCUUGCAGGUGCUUGUCGCUUAACACGUAUGCAGAUAGCUGCGACACGCGCACAGACGGCAGCGUGUAUUGCAAGACUUGCCUAACCUGGCGGCAUGAAGCUGGUGAAGCCGGGUGUCAGCGGGCCCUCGCGCGCGUUCUUCACGUCUGCGCCGCGGACCGCCUGAUGCAGUGGUACUCUGGGCCAGGGAAACGGUCCGUGGGUGGCAGCACGGAUGUGCACGUGCUACCCUGGGCGCAUGGGAAGACAGGUAAGCGAUAGGGCUGCGCAGAUAGAGCGGAGCUUCUGUGGCUCGCAUGUGUGAGGGGCGCGGCCCGGCGGUGGCCGGUGGGAGACAUGACGUCCUGUCAGGGCGACAUGAGUUACAUGGUCAGCUACGGCAGGACACUUCCCCCGCUGACGCGGAGCCUUUCCCUAAUACAGAGGUCUGCCAGUGGGCCAGGUGGAACACUUCCGAGCAAGACACGCGCGUCGUGUUCACCAUGCUGAGUAAGGGACUUGACUGCGCAGAAGGUACGUGCGUGUGCAGCUCUCUAUGUUUAGUUGUCUUGCAGUUGUGGAUGUGUGGCUGCACCCGAUCAUGCGCUUAUUUAUUACGCCUUGCUUGUCAAGCUGUCACCCCAUUGGGGCGGCGUGCGUGCCGACGGACACACGCAUGCUGCUGAGCAGAGGGCACCUGCACUCAGCUGCACUGUUUCCCUCCCAUCCACAUUCGAGCCGUGCACCCCUUCCCACCACUCGCAAGCGCAUACCCGCUCGCCUGCUGCAUGCUGCAGAUGCCACUCCCAUCAGCGUUGACGGCGCCACGUUCGCAGCCUGUGGCCGGAGUGCCCGUGGCUGCCGCAAGUCGGGCGCAGCGCCCGGCGAGGUCUCCAUUACGCUGGGCGUGCGCCGCACGACAGGAGUCACGCCACUGCCGCUGCCCGCCACCGGCAACGGCGCAACCGAUGUGGCGGCCGAUGCCGCGGUGUUGCCAGCGCACGCACGUUCGCUCCUGUGGUAUCAGACCCAGCCCUGCACUAGCUCUGUCCUGUACAACAGCUCUGGCAGCCCUGUUACUUUCAUCGACGGCCCCGUGUAUGCGGGCGCUGACAAGCAGUUGGUCGGCACUGCGACGCUGUACCCGAAUACGCCGCCUGGGUUCCUCACUUUCACGCUGGCGCGGAUCUACAACAGCGACGUGUCCAACUCAUACUUUUGGGACAACAGCGACUUGCUGUGGCGGCUGUACCCCGACCUUGGGUCCCUGAACAACGCUAUUGAUGUGGGUGUAGUGGGUGGGUGCGCACCCUGCGCGGCGGGUGGUGGGGGCGGUUGGGGGCGGUUGGGUUCCCAGCAGGGUCCUUACUCCAGGGCAGUAGGGUGAUUGCGCUCCGUGUGACCCUGCCUUGGGGGACAGGGCACACCUCACCUGCACGCGUGCCAGGCAGGGCGCGUCGUGCGAUGGGGGGCGGGACUGCCGUACUGCGGGUGGAGUGACGGAUGACGCGCCCCGCCUAGCAGGUGCUACACCACACCACACCCUUUCCACACCCAUCACCACUUGGCCAUUGCCCGUGCCCCCCCACCCACCCGCGCACACAUCCCACCACGUGCCCGGCCUUUGCGUCAUCUACUCAUCGCCGGUGGCGCCGAACCCACCCCACCUUAUGCGUGGACGCCUCUCCCUUGCCUUUUCCACUGCUGGCUGUCGAUGCCAUCCCUUCCCCGCCUUCACCCAUCCUGUACGACAGGGCCCCGCUUGUUCGCGCCCUAACCAGCUGGGAAGAAACUUCAACCAUGUCUCCAUGGACGGCAACAUCGGCAUCAUUAGUUUCGUCAUUCCAAACUCCAACUUGUCUCUCACAGAAGGCAGCUGCGACCGCAAGCGCUUUUUCAUCAUGAUCAAGGCCGGCGUUGCGGUGGGUCGCGGGAGACGGAGAUAGCGUUGCUCGCCCCUGCUCCCACCCCAUCCGGUCGCGUCCACCAGUGCCACUGCAUGUCCUGCUCACCAUUCCUGCCCGUGCCAGCCCUCACCAGUUGCCGUUCGCCUCCUCUUUGCGGGCUCUUUGUACUCCCAUCCCGCUCUUCACAGCACCAUCGCUCGCCGCACCCCAUCUCUCUUACACCGGCCAACAUUUGCCUGCACCCGUGUCGACAGGGCGAGACCGCGUUUCUAUCCUGGAGGUACAUGACCAAGAACAUCAACGAGUUCCCCGAGCUGUGCACAUCGGUGUCAAACUCCUGGUUUGGCCUGGGCGACUUCUACGUGGGUUGUCAGCCAUGCGCGACCCCGCCCUCCCCGCCGCUGCCUCCUAGGCCGCCGAGCCCAUCGCCGCCCAGCCCAUCGCCACCCUCCCCUUCGCCAACCACAGUAUCGAGCCCGUCGCCGCCCAGCCCCGCGCCACCCAUCCCCGCGCCGCCCAGCCCUCGCCCGCCUAGCCCUGCGCCGCCCAGCCCGCGCCCGCCUAGCCCUGCGCCUCCCAGCCCUGCGCCUCCCAGCCCUGCGCCGCCCAGCCCGCGCCCGCCUAGCCCUGCCCCUCCCAGCCCCGCCCCACCCAGCCCUUCGCCGGCCAGCCCAUCUCCGCCCAGCCCGGCGCCGACCAGCACUCUGCCCCCAAGCCCAGCUCCGCCCAGCCCCGCACCCAGGCCGCCAGAGCCCCCGUGUGCCCCUUGCCCUGACACCGCCCUUUACGCCAACGCGACAAGUAGCAAAGUGUCCUUUAUCACCGGCCCCGUGUAUGCGGGCGCAGACAAGCAGCUUGUCGGCAUUGCGACACUGUACGUAAACACGCCGGUCGCCGGAUCCCUCACAGUCACGCUGGUGCGGACUUCCAACAACGGCUUCAACUCGCCCUUCUGGUCCACGGAUGAUGCGCUGUGGCAGCUUUACACCGACACUGGGUCACUCGGCUCCGCCAUUGAUGUGGGUGCGCCUUGGGGUGCGGAACGUGCGCGGCGGGUGUCGGGGACGUUUGAACUCGGUUGGCACAUGGUGCGUGUGUCUGCCCAUGAUACUUACUAUCUCAAAGCUAGCCGCCUACGCAACUUUCUGUGCUUGUGCCUGGUCCUCACCGGUUUUUGUCUGAGUACCCAAGCAAAUAUGCCAUGAACUUUUCCGUACGCUGCCGUAAAACUGUCGACGAAACCCCUUACACGCCUGGCCACAUGUAUGGUAGCGAGAUUCCCUCUGCGUAGUCCUUUGUCAGAGGGUUCACGACCUGCCCGACAACUAUUAGGCAGAGCGCAUCAUGGUAUAUGUGUGGCAUGUAUGGUAGGUAUACCGUAUGUGUGGACACAGCAGGCAGCCUAGUUCACCGCAUCCGCAUCAGCCUCCUAGCCCUGCACCUCCUUCGCCUGCGCCGUUUCGUGGGCGGCACCACAGGAAAUUCCGUGGGCGGCUGGCCGAUUUACUUGCCAGCUGGUCGGUGCAUGUGAAGUGCCGGAUCAGUCCGUUUGGGACUCCGCACGCAAGUCCGUGAGGAAUGCCCAUCAGCAGCAAACUUCCAGCCCGCCAGCAACUUGUCCGUACAGUAAUUCCGGCAUUCGACCAGCCGCGCACGACUGCCCUGCCGCUGCAAAUUGUUUGCCAUCUGUUGGGGUCUGGGCGUCAGCUGCACCCUACGGGAUCUCGCCAACCUGUCCUAUCGCACACGCAAGUCCGCACGGGUACGGCCAGUGCUUUCGCAUUCUAGCUCUGGCCACCCAGACCCCACCUGCAUCCUACUCACAUUAUCUCGUGCGUACACGUUCGACUGACGUUGUUAUUGGUUUCUUACUGGUGACGCUCGCAGGCCCCCGGCUGUUCCCGGCCCAACCAGCUGGGCAGGGACUUCAACCACGUCCCGUUAAAUGGCAAUGUCGGGCUCUUCAGUUUCGUCAUUCCAUACACCAGCUUGGGCCUGACGCCUGAAAGCUGCGAGCGCAAGCGCUUUUUCAUCAUCGUCAAAUCCGGCGUCGAGGUGAGUCGCGCGGGGCAGGGUAAGAUCAUGGCAAGGGCAGGAGGAUGAUCGGGGCCGGUGAGGUCAGGUACUGAAACACUGGCGCACGGGAGUAUAACAACGGAUCCGGCACACAUGCGACAGCCAGAAUACCGCAAUCCUCACUUUCGUUUACAUUUUGUAGCACAACUGGUGCACUUUCGCUGCAACAUAUUUUCCGUCUUCACCAACAUUGGGCUUCCAAGACCCUAGGAUUCCUGCCUUAUCCCACAAUCAUACUGCAUCGACAGGGCGACACUGCGUUUCUAUCCUGGAGGUACAUGACCAAGAACAUUAACGAGUUCCCCGAGCUGUGCACAUCGGUGUCAAACUCCUGGUUCGGCCUUGGCGACUUCUAUUUGUCAUGUAAACCUUGCACUCCACCAUCUCCGCCCUCACCACCGUCAACAGUCGCCUUGAGCCCGCCAUCGCCCGCACCGCCGAGUCCGCUUCCACCCAGUCCAGCGCCGCCUUCCCCUACGCCUCCUAGCCCUGCCCCGCCGUCGCCUGCGCCUCCCUCGCCCGCUCCGCCCACCCCGAAGCCGCCGAGCCCGGCGCCUCCAAGCCCUGCUCCUCCCUCUCCCAAGCCUCCCAGCCCCGCACCCCCGACACCGACCCUGCGCCCGCCCAGCCCAGCGCCUCCGUCGCCCGCGCCUCCUUCGCCUGCGCCACCUACCCCGGCCCCGCCCAGCCCCGCGCCGCCUUCGCCUGCGCCUCCGUCGCCCGCGCCUCCCAGCCCCGCUCCCCCGACCCCGACCCUGCGCCCGCCCAGCCCGGCGCCUCCGUCGCCCGCGCCUCCGUCGCCUGCUCCUCCGUCACCAACGCCUCCCAGCCCUGCGCCGCCGUCGCCUGCGCCUCCCUCGCCCGCUCCUCCUUCACCUGCCCCGCCCAGCCCCGCGCCGCCCCCGCCAUGCGACGAUUGCCCGUCGCUGUUCAUCUCUGAGUUCCACUAUGACCAGAACCCCAGGGGCGGCAACAGCGACAAGCGGGAGUGGAUUGAGAUUAUUGUGCCUGCCGGCUUCGACUGGAGGCAAGACCUGUGGCUGGCGCAGUACACGUUCAACGGCAACCCGCAGACCGCCAGCGGCAGCCUGCACGGCAACGUGUUCCCGUUCACGUCACCCCAGAUCACCGUCAUUAGCGAGACUCGGCUGCAGACGCCCAACUUCGACUGGACGGCGCUGGUGAUUGACCUGCAGGGCAACCUGCAGAACAGCAAUGGCGGCUGGGACGGCUUUGCGCUGCUGACCAAGUGCACGGACGGCGUGCGCUGGUCGGUGGCGGACUUCAUCUGCUACGGCGCCAACUCGCAGGGCUUCAACAGCAUCGCCGCGAACGGCCCCGCGGCCGGCUACAGCUGCACCAACGUUGGCGCCGGCGUGAUUGAGAACAACAACACGCCUCAGGGCACCUCCAUCCAGCGUCUCAACACCGGCGACUGGAGCACCGUGGCCACGUGGAACUGGCAGGCCAACCUACCGCAGACCUGGGGCAGCCUGUUCAACCCCAGCAUCGCCCUGGGCACCAUCCCGCAAGUUGAGGCUUGCGGCGUGCCUCCCGCCGCGAAGCCUCCCUCGCCCGCUCCUCCCAGCCCUGCCCCGCCGUCACCUGCGCCUCCAAGCCCUGCUCCUCCCUCUCCCAAGCCUCCCAGCCCCGCGCCCCCGACCCCGACCCUGAGCCCGCCCAGCCCCGCGCCUCCGUCGCCCGCGCCUCCUUCGCCUGCUCCUCCGUCACCAACGCCUCCCAGCCCUGUGCCGCCGUCUCCUGCGCCUCCCUCGCCCGCUCCUCCUUCACCUGCCCCGCCCAGCCCCGCGCCGCCACCGCCAUGCGACGAUUGCCCGUCGCUGUUCAUCUCUGAGUUCCACUAUGACCAGGACCCCAGGGGCGGCAACAGCGACAAGCGGGAGUGGAUUGAGAUCAUCGUGCCUGCCGGCUUCGACUGGAGGCAAGACCUGUGGCUGGCGCAGUACACGUUCAAUGGCAACCCGCAGACCGCCAGCGGCAGCCUGCACGGCAACGUGUUCCCGUUCACGUCACCCCAGAUCACCGUCAUUAGCGAGACUCGGCUGCAGACGCCCAACUUCGACUGGACGGCGCUGGUGAUUGACCUGCAGGGCAACCUGCAGAACAGCAAUGGCGGCUGGGACGGCUUUGCGCUGCUGACCAAGUGCACGGACGGCGUGCGCUGGUCUGUGGCGGACUUCAUCUGCUACGGCGCCAACUCGCAGGGCUUCAACAGCAUCGCCGCGAACGGCCCCGCGGCCGGCUACAGCUGCACCAACGUUGGCGCCGGCGUGAUUGAGAACAACAACACGCCUCAGGGCACCUCCAUCCAGCGUCUCACCACCGGCGACUGGACCACCGUGGCCACGUGGAACUGGCAGGCCAACCUACCGCAGACCUGGGGCAGCCUGUUCAACCCCAGCGUGCCCCUGGGCGACAUCCCGCAGGUUGAGGCCUGCGGCGUGCCGCCCGCCGCAAAGCCUCCCUCGCCCGCUCCUCCCAGUCCGGUUCCUCCUAGCCCUGCCCCGCCGUCGCCUGCGCCUCCCUCGCCCGCUCCGCCCACCCCGAAGCCGCCGAGCCCGGCGCCUCCAAGCCCUGCUCCUCCCUCUCCCAAGCCUCCCAGCCCCGCACCCCCGACACCGACCCUGCGCCCGCCCAGCCCAGCGCCUCCGUCGCCCGCGCCUCCUUCGCCUGCGCCACCUACCCCGGCCCCGCCCAGCCCCGCGCCGCCUUCGCCUGCGCCUCCGUCGCCCGCGCCUCCCAGCCCCGCUCCCCCGACCCCGACCCUGCGCCCGCCCAGCCCGGCGCCUCCGUCGCCCGCGCCUCCGUCGCCCGCGCCUCCGUCACCAACGCCUCCCAGCCCUGCGCCGCCGUCGCCUGCGCCUCCCUCGCCCGCUCCUCCUUCACCUGCCCCGCCCAGCCCCGCGCCGCCCCCGCCAUGCGACGAUUGCCCGUCGCUGUUCAUCUCUGAGUUCCACUAUGACCAGAACCCCAGGGGCGGCAACAGCGACAAGCGGGAGUGGAUUGAGAUCAUUGUGCCUGCCGGCUUCGACUGGAGGCAAGACCUGUGGCUGGCGCAGUACACGUUCAACGGCAACCCGCAGACCGCCAGCGGCAGCCUGCACGGCAACGUGUUCCCGUUCACGUCACCCCAGAUCACCGUCAUUAGCGAGACUCGGCUGCAGACGCCCAACUUCGACUGGACGGCGCUGGUGAUUGACCUGCAGGGCAACCUGCAGAACAGCAAUGGCGGCUGGGACGGCUUUGCGCUGCUGACCAAGUGCACGGACGGCGUGCGCUGGUCUGUGGCGGACUUCAUCUGCUACGGCGCCAACUCGCAG